CACCAGAGAGAAAAGAGCUCUCCGGCGGCUGAGAUCCGCCGGGGAAAUUCCCUCCCGGAGGGGGAAAUCGACGCCAUCGUCACCGUCAUCGAGCUGGACAUCAUCUCCAUCACCAUCACCAUCACCUCCACCAUCAUCACCGCCGUCUCCACCGCUGCACAUCGUCACCGCCGUAGCAAUUUGGGUUUGAUCUUGAUUGUUUGAUAGGGGAAACUCUCCCGGUAUUGAUUUCUACUUGUUGUUGAUGCUAUUGAGUGAAACCGUUGAACCAAGGUUUAUGUUCAGAUUGUUAUUCAUCAUCAUAUCACCUCUGAUCAUGUUCCAUAUGAUGUCUCGUGAGUAGUUCGUUUAGUUCUUGAGGACAUGGGUGAAGUCUAAAUGUUAGUAGUGAACCAUGGUUGAGUAA